rnacentral:rRNA from 1 species
CAGUAGCCGCGGUAAUACGAGGGGUGCAAGCGUUAUUCGGAUUGAUUGGGUGUAAAGGGCGUGCAGACGGCUUAUUAAGUCACUUGUUAAAUUCUUCGGCCUAACUGAAGGUCUGCAAGUGAUACUGAUGAGCUAGAGGGUGGAAGAGAGAAGUGGAAUUCUCGGAGUAGCGGUAAAAUGCGUAGAUCUCGAGAGGAACACCAAUGGCGAAGGCAGCUUCUUGAUCCAUUCCUGACGUUCAUACACGAAAGCGUGGGGAGCAAACAGGAUUAGAUACCCCCGUAGUCCCUGUCUCUUAUAC